rnacentral:rRNA from 1 species
AUGAACGCUGGCGGCGUGCCUAACACAUGCAAGUCGAACGGAGAUAGACGCUGACGAGACUUCGGUCAAAUCUGUUUAAUCUUAGUGGCGGACGGGUGAGUAACGCGUGGGCAACCUGCCUCAUACUGGGGGAUAGCAGUUGGAAACGACUGAUAAUACCGCAUAAGCGCACGGAGUCGCAUGACCCUGUGUGAAAAACUCCGGUGGUAUGAGAUGGGCCCGCGUCAGAUUAGCUAGUUGGUAAGGUAACGGCUUACCAAGGCGACGAUCUGUAGCCGGACUGAGAGGUCGGACGGCCACAUUGGGACUGAGACACGGCCCAAACUCCUACGGGAGGCAGCAGUGGGGGAUAUUGCACAAUGGAGGAAACUCUGAUGCAGCGACGCCGCGUGAGUGAAGAAGUAUUUCGGUAUGUAAAGCUCUAUCAGCAGGGAAGAAAGGCCCGCAAGGGAGAUGACGGUACCUGACUAAGAAGCCCCGGCUAACUACGUGCCAGCAGCGGC